AAUAAUGUAGAAUUUUUCUUGAUUUAACGAAGAAUUUUCAUGGAUUUAGGAGGAUUUUUGAAUUCCAUUUUCUGUUCUGAUUUAUAGUUAUCUAUUUAUUUAUUUCUGUUUUUGGGCAUUUAAACCUGCUACUAUUAAGUUUUGGGCCGCUUAUAAUUGAUUUGGGCUCAGAAGACCCUUAUUGGUAAAGACUCAAACGACAUCUUUUUGCAUACACUACAAUUGUUCAUACAUAUAUCUCAUGGUCACUGGUCAACGCUUGAAGAUGAAUCAUCACGCUUCGAUUGAGAGAGAGUAAUUUUGUUCGAUUUCAUGUUUAAUUUGCUCAAUCAUUGUAUUUGGGGGAUAAUGUCUGCAAACUCUACUCUUUAUAUCUCUCUAGAAAACGAGAUUGAAGCGGCCAUGCCCUGAUCUGAAUCAAGUUAAGUAGAUGAAAGCGAGGCUAAAGAGAAUGGGAUAGAAGAGAGGUUGAUGCUGAUGAUGAAACGGGAAAUUGGAAUUCAAAACUUCUUUUUCAAAGCCUCAUACAUGAAAAGCAAAUCUUAGACCAUAACCAAUAAUCAUGGGCGAGGUACAGUCCGUUUAUGAACGAAUCAUGAAACAUAUAUAAGGUUGAUCGAAGUUACAUUUUUUACGAUUACUUUCAUCCUAUGCGUCAUACGAUCGAAGAUUUUAGGGCUUCAAGAUGACUCGGUCGACUGUACAUUCUCUAUUGUGUUAUUUAUACUCUCACGCCAGACCUACUACCACCACCGGUUCACUCACCACCACCACCGGUGCACUCACCGCCACCACCAUUUCUUCAAGACUCAUCUAUGUUGUAUUCGAUUUCAUUUUAUCUGUAAUAUAAGACGAAGAUAUUUAUUGAUGUUUGAUUGUUUCUCUUUUUUACACUAUAAAACAAAGCCCUAGAUUUUAUUAUAUUUUUCUUUUGAUCUUUCUCGAAAAAAACAUCAGAGUAUCACUAAAUCUUCAUUUUUUUUUUUUAGAUUUGAUGGAAUCCAUUAAUGGUAACUCGGGUAUUGUUCCUUUUCUCAGGUCAACUAACAAAUGCAAAAGUGAGCUUAAGCAUGUGUAAUGUUGUUGUGAACAAGAACACCAUAAUUUUACUUGUGGAACGGUGUGCUCUUUUUCAUCCAAUAUGUCAUCUAUACACACAUGUCAUUUAUUCGUACAGUGUUUCCUUAUUCACAUAAAAUGAAUUUAUGAAAAGGUAAGAUGCUAUCACAUUUCCCUUAUCCUAUCUUAACCAGUUUUUUAUUUAAUUUUAAGAUUCUUGACAUUGUUAAUGAUUCUUAUGAACAAUAAAUUUGUAUCUUGAAGGAAUGACAAAAAUCUCAUUUUUAUGACUAAAAAUAAAGAAAUGCAGAGGUAUAUUUAAAGAGAUGAUAAGGACAAAUGUGUAGAUUGCUUCAAAGUUUUUGAUUGUUUUUGGUGCUAAACUUUUGUUAUUUGAUUUAGGCCACUUGAGGAGGGAGGAUGUUUCAUAAAUAUCUGAUGUUAAUUUUGGAUGUGGUGCAAUAGAAUUAAUGUUGCUUAAGCCAUGUUGCUUGGUAUGGAAGCAAUGGAAGAAAUAAGCCAUGUUCAUUAAUUGUGGUACAACCAGUGUUCUAAAAGGCGCGCCAUGGCGUGAGGUGUGACAACCCUAAAUUUCCAUUGCUCGUGCGUGUAAACCAGUCUCCGUUUGUCACCUAGCACGGUAGCCGACACUGCAAUUCAAACGACUCACCACAAGUCAUCAGUAGACAGGUACCGAGGCCAGCUUUUGAGAAGAUGGAGUGCAUUCAAGACUCAUCUCAUAUUAUUUUGUGUCUCAUUAUUUUUGGUGUCUAUAACUGUACAGAACACACUUGUAUUAAAAUUAUAUAUUUAAUGCAAUGGAUGAUGUUGUUUGCUUAUUUACAUUUACUGUGUUGUGAUACUGUACAUGACGUCCUCCGCCCCGGAACGUUUCCGCCGUUCUUGGUUUUGGGGUGUGACAGAUUGGUAUCAG